rnacentral:rRNA from 1 species
GCAGUCGAGCGGACGGAUGGGAGCUUGCUCCCUGAAGUCAGCGGCGGACGGGUGAGUAACACGUGGGCAACCUGCCUGUAAGACUGGGAUAACUUCGGGAAACCGGAGCUAAUACCGGAUAAUGCAUAACCUCUCAUGAGGUUAUGCUGAAAGAUGGUUUCGGCUAUCACUUACAGAUGGGCCCGCGGCGCAUUAGCUAGUUGGUGAGGUAACGGCUCACCAAGGCAACGAUGCGUAGCCGACCUGAGAGGGUGAUCGGCCACACUGGGACUGAGACACGGCCCAGACUCCUACGGGAGGCAGCAGUAGGGAAUCUUCCGCAAUGGACGAAAGUCUGACGGAGCAACGCCGCGUGAGUGAUGAAGGUUUUCGGAUCGUAAAACUCUGUUGUUAGGGAAGAACAAGUGCCGGAGUAACUGCCGGCACCUUGACGGUACCUAACCAGAAAGCCACGGCUAACUACGUGCCAGCAGCCGCGGUAAUACGUAGGUGGCAAGCGUUGUCCGGAAUUAUUGGGCGUAAAGCGCGCGCAGGCGGUCUCUUAAGUCUGAUGUGAAAGCCCACGGCUCAACCGUGGAGGGUCAUUGGAAACUGGGGGACUUGAGUGCAGAAGAGGAAAGUGGAAUUCCACGUGUAGCGGUGAAAUGCGUAGAGAUGUGGAGGAACACCAGUGGCGAAGGCGACUUUCUGGUCUGUAACU